UACGAAGGGGGCUAGCGUUGCUCGGAAUUACUGGGCGUAAAGGGCGCGUAGGCGGACUGUUUAGUCAGAGGUGAAAGCCCAGGGCUCAACCUUGGAACAGCCUUUGAUACUGGCAGUCUUGAGUACGGGAGAGGUGAGUGGAACUCCGAGUGUAGAGGUGAAAUUCGUAGAUAUUCGGAAGAACACCAGUGGCGAAGGCGACUCACUGGCCCGUUACUGACGCUGAGGCGCGAAAGCGUGGGGAGCAAACGGG
rnacentral:rRNA from 1 species